AUUGAACGCUAGCGGGAUGCUUUACACAUGCAAGUCGAACGAGUGGCGGACGGGUGAGUAAUAUAUCGGAAAGUGCCCAGUAGCGGGGGAAAACUAAUCGAAAGAGUGGCUAAUACCGCAUACUCUGGGAGCGGCCGAUAUCGGAGUAGCUAGUUGGUGGGGUAACGGCUCACCAAGGCAACGAUCCGUCGCUGGUUUGAGAGGACGGACAGCCACACUGGGACUGUGGCACGGCCCAGACUCCUACGGGAGGCAGCAGUGGGGAAUUUUGGACCAUGGGGGCAACCCUGAUCCAGCCAUCCAGCGUUUAUGAGGAGGCCUUCGGGUUUGAAAGUACUUUUUGCAGAGAAGCGGUAUCUGCAGAAUAAGCACCGGCUAACUACGUGCCAACAGCCGCGGUAAUAC
rnacentral:rRNA from 1 species